UUUUAGCUUCAAAGGUAACCACUGAGAUUGAUUUCUAGCCUCUUUCCUAAUGAACGUAAUUAUUCCUGAGCCUGGAAUUAAUAAAAACUAACCCAAGAGGAACCUUCAAAGGCUUCUGUUGCCUUCAAAGAACCAUAUCAGCGGCUGGCACCUUGCCCAUUUGAAGUGCUGUCAAACAGACUCCUCGUUUGUGCAAUGAAACCUCAAAUAUCCUUUUUGGGCUGUCCCCAGGGAAACAGCAGCACUUAAAACCAGUCAGCAAACAGGAUUCUUUUCCUGCAUAAACCUGCCCUGGAGUUCCUCCGUCUCUCAAGAGGUCAAGCGGGUUUGUGGAUUUUCGGUAUCCUGACCUGUAUCCUGUACUCUGGGAACCCUGGAACCUUGAAUCUUUGGACUGGCAUUUGACUACGGUAUAGACUCUCGAUCCCUGGACUUUGCUUAUUGAACUCUCGGCGUUUGACCACUGGACUGGACCUUUUGACUAUGGUGUUAUCCUGAAUCUGCAACAGUGUUUGCUGUCAGUUUUUGUUUUAUAUUCUGUGGCUGAGUGCUAUCUUUAUGUUUUAUGUUUUGGUCUAUUAAAACAGCCAGACAGUAAGUGCUGCUUUAAUUAAAUUGUUUAACACAAA